AGUGUCUGGGGCUCAGUGGAGUAAACUGCAGACCCAAAACCACCUGCACCAGUGUGACUGGGAAUUACUCCUGCAGCUGCAUUGAUGGAUGUGAGUCCAGGACUGGGAAAGCCAGGUCUCAGUGAGUGAGAACAGCUGCCAGGACAUCGACGAGUGCCGCCAGACCCCAGAUAUCUGCAGCCCCAAGAUCCUGUGUAUCAACACCAAUGGGAGCUACUGGUGUGAGUGCCGGGCUGGCUACAUCCCCUCCAAUGGGAACACGACCCUGUUCCAAGUUCCACUAGGAUUCCAUCUCCUGACUGAUCGUGCUCGGGG